rnacentral:rRNA from 1 species
AUACGGAGGAUCCGAGCGUUAUCCGGAUUUAUUGGGUUUAAAGGGAGCGCAGGCGGAGAUGCAAGCGUGACGUCAAAUUUCGGGGCUCAACCCCGUCUCGCGUCGCGAACUGCGUCCCUUGGUUGCGGGAAGGGGAGGCGGAACUCGUGGUGUAGCGGUGAAAUGCAUAGAUAUCACGAAGAACUCCGAUCGCGAAGGCAGCCUUCCGGCCCGUCAACGACGCUCAUGCUCGAAGGUGCGGGUAUCAAACAGGAUUAGAUACCCUGGUAGUCCGCACAGUAAACGAUGGACACCCGCGGUUUGGCCUGUAUGGCUGAGCCGCCAAGCGAAAGCGUUAAGUGUCCCACCUGGGGAGUACGCCGGCGACGGUGAAACUCAAAUGAAUUGGCGGGG